rnacentral:rRNA from 1 species
CGUGAGUAACCUGCCUUGGAGUGGGGAAUAACACAUCGAAAGAUGUGCUAAUACCGCAUAAUGCAGUUGGGGCCGCAUGGCUCUGACUGCCAAAGAUUUAUCGCUCUGAGAUGGACUCGCGUCUGAUUAGCUGGUUGGCGGGGUAACGGCCCACCAAGGCGACGAUCAGUAGCCGGACUGAGAGGUUGACCGGCCACAUUGGGACUGAGACACGGCCCAGACUCCUACGGAAGGCAGCAG